rnacentral:rRNA from 1 species
UGGGGUAAAGGCCUACCAAGGCGACGAUCCAUAGCUGGUCUGAGAGGAUGAUCAGCCACAUUGGGACUGAGACACGGCCCAAACUCCUACGGGAGGCAGCAGUGGGGAAUAUUGGACAAUGGGCGCAAGCCUGAUCCAGCCAUGCCGCGUGAGUGAUGAAGGCCUUAGGGUUGUAAAGCUCUUUCACCGGAGAAGAUAAUGACGGUAUCCGGAGAAGAAGCCCCGGCUAACUUCGUGCCAGCAGCCGCGGUAAUACGAAGGGGGCUAGCGUUGUUCGGAAUUACUGGGCGUAAAGCGCACGUAGGCGGAUAUUUAAGUCAGGGGUGAAAUCCCAGAGCUCAACUCUGGAACUGCCUUUGAUACUGGGUAUCUUGAGUAUGGAAGAGGUAAGUGGAAUUCCGAGUGUAGAGGUGAAAUUCGUAGAUAUUCGGAGGAACACCAGUGGCGAAGGCGGCUUACUGGCCCAUUACUGACGCUGAGGUGCGAAAGCGUGGG